UUUGCAGAUAUUAAUCAUUGAGGUUGUGACAAUGUGACAGACUGAAGAAGAAGCUGCAGUUUUCCUCUGAAGCUACAAAAUCUUUUCAGUUCAACCUUCCGCUGAGUUCAGACAGCUCACCAGAGAUCCAGACGGACUGACAUCAGGAUUCUUUAAGCCCUUACUCCAGCAGAACUCCGAAAAUGAAGUUGAUUUCAGUCGUCCCGCUCCUGCUGGCUCCACUCUUGACCAGCUGCCAGACAAUCCUUUUCCACUGGACUGUAGCGCAUCUAUAAAAAUGUCAACACCCGAACAAGUGGGGUGUACACAAUCUUUCCCAUCAAAACCACUUCUGAGGUCCAGGUGUACUGCGAGAUGAACUCAGAAGGAGGAAGGUGGACGGUGUUCCAGAGGAGGAUGGACGGCACGGUGAACUUUUACAGGACCUGGGAUCAAUACAGGACUGGCUUUGGUAACCGUGCGGUGGAGAGUACUGGCUUGGUGAGAAAUAAAAC